ACUCCUACGGGAGGCAGCAGUGGGGAAUAUUGCACAAUGGGCGCAAGCCUGAUGCAGCCAUGCCGCGUGUAUGAAGAAGGCCUUCGGGUUGUAAAGUACUUUCAGCAGUGAGGAAGGUGGGUAUGUUAAUAGCAUAUUCAUUUGACGUUAGCUGCAGAAGAAGCACCGGCUAACUCCGUGCCAGCAGCCGCGGUAAUACGGAGGGUGCGAGCGUUAAUCGGAAUUACUGGGCGUAAAGCGCAUGCAGGUGGUUUGUUAAGUCAGAUGUGAAAGCCCGGGGCUCAACCUCGGAAUUGCAUUUGAAACUGGCAAACUAGAGUACUGUAGAGGGGGGUAGAAUUUCAGGUGUAGCGGUGAAAUGCGUAGAGAUCUGAAGGAAUACCGGUGGCGAAGGCGGCCCCCUGGACAGAUACUGACACUCAGAUAGCGAAAGCGUGGGGAGCAAACAGGAUUAGAUACCCUCGUAGGCUCUGGC
rnacentral:rRNA from 1 species